GCUCCGAUGGCCUAAUGGUUGGAACGUCCGCCUCGGAUACGGGGGGUCGUGGGUUCGAUCCCCGGCCGAGUA